UAUCAGUGCUCCAUCUAUAGGCCUAACAAAGGGGUGUUGAUAGACUUUUGAUUGGCUGAGCCACCAUCUAUUUGAAAACAAGCGACUUUGAUUGGCUGGAGACAGGAAGUUAUGUUUUGAAAACAAAGGGGGUUUUCAUCAACUGACUUUGAGCUUUAAGGUAUAAUUGAGUAACAUUAAGACUUAUAAUUCUAGUUUAAAAUGUCUUGAAUAACUUUCAGCAUGAAGUAUUGUGUGGUGAAAACAAUGUGUAUGUACUACAAUGUGUAAAUCAACAAUAAGUUUGUUGCAAAGGAGAUUCAAAGUGGAUGGUUAAAGUGAUAUGGUCUCAUAAUUCAUCAACUGCCUGUUAUCUUGGAAUACUGAAGAACAGUUGUUUUAGGUUAAACUCCCAAGGUGAAAUUUACAUUGAUUGGAAGAUUCUUUGGAUAGAAUAUUCCUGCCAAAAGACAGCAGAAGGGGGACUAACUGAUGUAUGGAUUUUGACACCAGAUUUUACCCUGCACGAGCAGCCCAACUUGAGUAGAUCAGGAGUGGGAAAACCGAGCCCUGUCCUUGACCAAGGAAAGUUGGAUUUGUUGAGAGGACCUGAUCUCAAAUGAGAUCAUGCACAAGACGCACCUCGCAAAGGCCAUGACAGUAUAGUUUUCAGACCUGAUCAGCUGGUGACUGCUCUAUGAAGUGCUGUUCAACCUCCCCUAAGGGGGAGAUUCGAGAGGGUCUCCUGAUUGCUGAAUACU